GACGAACGCUGGCGGCGCGCCUAACACAUGCAAGUCGAACGAGCGAGAGAGAGCUUGCUUUCUCAAGCGAGUGGCGAACGGGUGAGUAACGCGUGAGGAACCUGCCUCAAAGAGGGGGACAACAGUUGGAAACGACUGCUAAUACCGCAUAAGCCCACAGGUCGGCAUCGACCAGAGGGAAAAGGAGCAAUCCGCUUUGAGAUGGCCUCGCGUCCGAUUAGCUAGUUGGUGAGGUAACGGCCCACCAAGGCAACGAUCGGUAGCCGGACUGAGAGGUUGAACGGCCACAUUGGGACUGAGACACGGCCCAGACUCCUACGGGAGGCAGCAGUGGGGAAUAUGGCACAAUGGGGGAAACCCUGAUGCAGCGACGCCGCGUGGAGGAAGAAGGUCUUCGGAUUGUAAACUCCUGUUGUUGAGGAAGAUAAUGACGGUACUCAACAAGGAAGUGACGGCUAACUACGU
rnacentral:rRNA from 1 species